AAAUUGAAGAGUUUGAUCAUGGCUCAGAUUGAACGCUGGCGGCAGGCCUAACACAUGCAAGUCGAACGGUAGCACAGAGAGCUUGCUCUCGGGUGACGAGUGGCGGACGGGUGAGUAAUGUCUGGGAAACUGCCCGAUGGAGGGGGAUAACUACUGGAAACGGUAGCUAAUACCGCAUAACGUCGCAAGACCAAAGUGGGGGACCUUCGGGCCUCACACCAUCGGAUGUGCCCAGAUGGGAUUAGCUAGUAGGUGGGGUAACGGCUCACCUAGGCGACGAUCCCUAGCUGGUCUGAGAGGAUGACCAGCCACACUGGAACUGAGACACGGUCCAGACUCCUACGGGAGGCAGCAGUGGGGAAUAUUGCACAAUGGGCGCAAGCCUGAUGCAGCCAUGCCGCGUGUAUGAAGAAGG
rnacentral:rRNA from 1 species